GACAUUAUUCUCUGUCGAUUCCUGUUUGAUUUAUUUUACAGUCUAAAUGCAUUAUGGUAUCUAGUUUAUCUAUUCUAUGGUUUGAAAUGCAUGUAUCACUGCUUACUUCACUAAUGUUUGAUUUUGGGAAUCUAAGAUAUGCUUGCUUUGUUGGAUGGACGUUUCUUGUUUAUAUAUUUAUGUUUGAGUUGGUAACGGAGACCAAGGACAAAUAGGAAUGGGAUGUGAUUUGAUAAAUGGAUAAGAUGAUAGCCUCACUAGAUAUCCUGCGAGAUGGUGGACGAAUCGGGUUCAUAGGGAACCCUACCUUGAACGUCGUCUCAUACCGGACGGGGUAUGGAGACUUGGUCAUUUGGCACUCAUACUAGACAGGGUAUGGGGACGACCCGCUUCAGCCUCAUACCGGACGAAGUAUUGAGGUUUAUUAUUUUGGCGCUCAUUCCGAACGGGGUAUGGGGAUGACCCUGGAAUUAAGAUUGUUAAGAAAAAUGGUUCACAUGUAGCGGGGACCCCUAUGGAUCCCCAUAGAUACUAGUAUGCUGGUGAAAACGAGAAAUGGUGAUAAUCAGUUAUUGUUAAUGAAUACAGAUUUAUGAUGUGUUUUAUGUUACUGAUUAUUCAUGAAAUUAUGAUCUGUAUGAUGUUAUUGUCUUUAUAGGUUGUUUUCACAGGUGCUCCAAGGGUAAAAAAAAGGGUAAGUGGUUUUAUUUUAAAUAAUUGAAUUGGUUUAAAAUUUGUGCUCCAUUGGUUGUUUUCGGUUUUCUACUAAUUUUUACUUCUGUGACGAUGAUAUAGUGUGAUGUCCUUACUGGGCUAGUGUAGCUCAUUCCUUAUUUAACCAUUUUAGAUCAGGAGGACCUAGUUCCCGAGCCUAAUCCACAAGAAGACGGCGAGUAGAUGCUAGAUGCUUUAUAGUUUCCUUUAUUUUUCUCAUUUCUCGUAUUUCUUUUAGAGAACUUAUUCCGUGGUAUUGUUUAGUACUUUUAAGUUGUUGUGUAAGGGAUGUUAACCUUAAUCUUUGAUUUCGCUUCCGCACUCAGAUUAUUAUAUGUAUUUUCUUUUGAAUUUCCGGGGCCGUUAAACUCCACCUUCGUAGUUGAAUCUGAAAUCAUCUUAUCAGACAUGACUAAAUCUUUAUAUGUGGACAUAAUAUAUAUCUCGAUAUAGAUCUAGGUAGUUAUUAACCACGUUUGACUAGUUAAUGGGUUUUAAUUAUUUGGUCCUCUUCUCUUAAUUUGCAGUGACAAAGGAUCUGAUGCUGAUUUUCCUGAAAUUUAUGAACUUUGCUUCAAGAUUAAAGGAGCCUCCUUAAGGUUUAUAAUUAAUACUAAUAAUCAUAGCUCAAAACUCUUUAAUU
rnacentral:lncRNA from 1 species